rnacentral:rRNA from 1 species
CCUACGGGGGUCAGCAGUGGGGAAUAUUGGACAAUGGGUGCAACCCUGAUCCAGCCAUGCCGCGUGUGUGAAGAAGGCCCUCGGGUUGUAAAGCACUUUCAGUGAGGAAGAACGCCUGGUGGUUAAUACCCAUCAGGAAAGACAUCACUCACAGAAGAAGCACCGGCUAACUCCGUGCCAGCAGCCGCGGUAAUACGGAGGGUGCGAGCGUUAAUCGGAAUUACUGGGCGUAAAGCGCGCGUAGGUGGCUUGAUAAGCCGGUUGUGAAAGCCCCGGGCUCAACCUGGGAACGGCAUCCGGAACUGUCAAGCUAGAGUGCAGGAGAGGAAGGUAGAAUUCCCGGUGUAGCGGUGAAAUGCGUAGAGAUCGGGAGGAAUACCAGUGGCGAAGGCGGCCUUCUGGACUGACACUGACACUGAGGUGCGAAAGCGUGGGUAGCAAACAGGAUUAGAUACCCCUGUAGUC